rnacentral:sRNA from 1 species
UUUUAGCCCUGAUGGCCCCGGGACUUCGGGAUGCAUCUUUUUCUGGUUUCUUUAGGCGGAAAAGAUAUAGCAGACAGCAGUAAAUAGU